AUAUUUCUACUUCUCCCGAGGUUGGAAGCUCGCUAGCCAUAGUUCUUUCUGUACUUAUGGUUCUUUCUGGAACAUUUUCCAGUUCCCCCCCAAUCGCUUAUGGGGCAUUUCUUAAGAAAAAUCACCAAAAUGACAUAAAGGGUUUUAAGAAUUCUGUACUUUUUCCUGAUAUCUUCUUGACACCUCCUCCUUAUUUUUCAAGCAUUUCGAAUAUUCAUGGGCAAUUUUUCAUUUUUUCAAGGAUUUUUUGCCCUUUGAAAUGAUUUUUGGUUGACUCCUCUGUUUUGGGGGUUCAGAUUUCUUUUCUCCUACAUUUCCAUAUUUUGCCCAUCGGGGCUAUGGAUACCUGGUUUUAUUAUUUUUUCUUUGCCCAACAGGGUUCUAGCUACCUGUCUUAAUUCCUUUUUUAAAGAAAAUUAGCCCACCGGGGCUGCGGAUACCUGCUUUUAAUUUUUUUUUCCUUAGCCCAUCGGGGCCUCGGAUACCUGCAGUGCCCCCUUUUGCCCCCCAAAUUCUGGCCCAUCGGGGCAACGGAUACCUGUUUUUGUGGUUUUUUUUGUUUUGUUUUGUUUUUGAAUUGGCUUUUGGCCCAUCGGGGCCUCGGAUACCUGCUUAUAUUUUUUUUUUUAAAUUUUUUGCCCAUCAGGGCCUCGGAUACCUGCUCUGAUUUUUUUUUUUUUCUGGCCCAUCGGGGCCCCGGAUACCUGCUCUGAUUUUUUUUUUCCAUCGCCCAUCGGGGCCUUUCAUGGAUGAAAAUGUGUUGGUUCUGUGGGUUGUCGCACUAUCUGGAAUAUCUACACUUUUUGCUGCUGAUCGUUUGGUGGUGUGUGAGUGAACCUACGGCUUUGGCAGGGGAAUGACUUUGCAGUUAAGCUAAGGGGGUGUUCAGGCUUUGGAGGAAAAAUAUCCGCCAUUUUAGAGUUGCCUCAUAAUUUGGCUGACUAGUCAGUUGUGUUAAAUCUAAAUUAGGAAAGCAAGAUGGAUAGCGGGCGAGGCAGAGGUAGUCAUGUGCAUUGCACGAGCUAAAGGUAAUCGAAUCAGCUGACUUGGUGCUUGUUAGCAGCUUUGCAUGAAUUGUGGUACUGGGAUGCCGGAAAACAAGAUUGUCCUGCAGCAGUACGAGGCGUUAAGUUGAAAAUGAGACAGGACUUAAAAGUGCUGGGCUCAAAAUGGCGCUUUUGCCAUUGCAGCGUUUCUCAGCAUGGCUCCCUGUGCUUUGUUAAAUCGUCUAAAAUGGCGGAUUCAGUUCGGCCGCAACGUUAAAGUGGCGGGAAGGCCACAUCAUGAUGGGUGGGGUCUUUUUUUGUAAUGCGCAGCAUGAUGGUGGCAGAGUUCGGUCACACAGUGAAAGAUGGCGGCUGAAACCCUUGCCGCAGUGUAAAAUAUGGCGGGCGUCUUUGUCUUUGCCGUGUGCAUUUCGUGGCGGGUUUUGCCGCAGGGACAAUAUGGCUGACGAUAUCAUGUGGUUAUCAUGGAGAUUUGUCACGUGGACGUCAUGGCGCGUUUUUGCUCGGUAAAUUGGCGGGCUUUGCGCAAGGUGGACCUACGGCAUUGUUAAAGAUGGCGGGCGUUGCCGCAUUUUGCCGGUCAAAGCAGGAGAAAACCGGGUGCUGGAUUGCCGCAUGACUUAACCAAUCAGAAAUGAGGGUGGAUUAGGCACAGCCAAUUAGCAUGGAGGAUGGAAUUAGACUGUCGAUGCACUGUCCAGUUACUGAGCGAGGAUGUGGGUGAGUUAGCAUGGCUCUUUGCAGCUUUCUUUUUUCAGCCAGUCAGGACGAAGAAGUGGAGCGGCCAUGUAGUGUGCCCCUCCCAGUGGGUGGUAUUAAAGUUCUUUCCAAGGUCUUUUCAAGGACAUUUGGCCUUUCUACCUCCCUUCCCUCUUGUUUGUCCUCUCCUCUCCAGACAUGGUCUCUUGCAGUGCUGGAUAUCUGGCUAUGUGGGCUGAACCCCACCCACAUUCCUCUGUAUUGAUGCAAUGGCCUUUGGCUAAUCUACUCCCGCCCUGGCCUGUGGUCCUCCCUGCACUGUGGCCACCGGCAGUGCUCCAGGCCUGCCUGGUGUGGACAUGGUGGUGAGCUGUGGCAAGGACCAGAAUGGAUCACAGAUGAUCGAAGGGAAAUCCUGCCUUUCUCAGGAGGAACAUCUACCCCGUGGCUAAUGCUGGGGUCGGAUUUUGAUUUAUAUUAUUUUUUUGGAUGUCAGUCUUAAUAGUCUGACUAUGUGGUUUGCUAGUGUUCCAAUUUAAGUCUUAAGUGACUAGUAUAGAAAUGUAUUUUGUGACUUUUUUAAUUUGUAGAAUUCAUUUUAGUUGCACUUAAUGAGCUUUCAUUUUGCAUUCCAUAGAAUUCCUUAAAUUUCUCUAUAAAUUCAUAAACUAGUUUUGGUAGUAGAUAGUCAAAUUCAAAUCAUCUGACAUUUAAAAACUUUUAUUUCUGAUUAUGUUCUUUGAAAUUGGCUUAACAAACUACUUCCCUUCGAAUCUGUCAAGAAUUUUGUAGCACAGAAACAGUUAAUUAAAAAACUUCAUGACCAAGAAUAAUAAAGUAUUUGAAGGUCUUCACACCCACCCAGGCCUUGCUUUAUUCCUAUACUUGAUGCUGCACUAAUUGAUUAAUGACCUACCUACCUAUCAGGCAGGAAACUUGAAUUUCUGUGGUCUUGUGCCCUCUAAUCAGACACAUUGUAUUGGAGUAUUAAUGCCUACAUUUCAAUUUUGUAUGGUUUCCUGCCUCUCCAACCUUGCUCACAGCAACCCCCAAGGGUAGCCCGAGCUAUGUCCAUGCCCCAGCCCCAGCCCAGCCCCAGCCCCAGCCCCAGCCCCGUCCCCAGCCCAGUCCCCAGCCCAGUCCCCAGGCCCAAUCCCAGCCCCAGCCCCAGCCCCUGCCCCGACCCCAGUCCCAGCCCCGGCCCCGGCCCCGGCCCCGGCCCCGGCCCCAGCCCCAGCCCCCAGCCCCCAGCCCCAGCCCCAGCCCAGAGCUCCCCACUCCAAAACCCAGCCCUAACCUCAGUCUUAGCCACUCAGCCAAAGCUUGGCUGCUCCCUAGACCCACUCCAAUUUUCAUUUGUUGAGCACUCAAUAAGUUGUCCGUUGCUCAUCUUAUUUUACUGGCAUUGAUGAUCUUAAAUGCUGACCAUCUGAGUUGCCAUUUUCAGUUAAUGCAUACAAUUCCUUUUGUCCAUGGUCCUAUGUUAAAGACUUCCUGUACUCUGUAUGUUAAUGUUAAGAAAUGUUAACUGAGAACUUCAUAUGAGGGAAUUAUUGCCCAUAAUUCGAGUUACUCAUCAACGUCUCAAUCCCUUGCCUUUAAGGAAGGAGAAACCUUUCCACUGUCAUUGCUGCAGUAGUUGAAGUCCCGGUUUUCUGAGAAGUGCUCAGUGGUCUUUUCUCAUGUACUGUGUUGACCACCUAAAGCUCUGCAUUGAAUGAAACUCUAAUUUUCCAUAAUCCUACCCAUUGGAUUAGAUGUUAGUCCAAACCGCAUUUGUAUUCAGGGGGAGCAAACAACCCAAGUGUUUUGUGGAACAAUUAAUGUGCUCAAUCCCAGGUGUCAUAAACUUAUCCAUUAAACAAAGAUACUCUACUGCCCAUCUUGCCCUGCAUUUGGAAAGUCCUGCUGUUCUUGAGCAGUUAAAGUACAGUAAUUGUUCAUUGUCUUGCCCAUUAAUCAUGAGGACCUCCAAUUCUCUUUGUAUUUGCCUUGAGGCAGUGCUAAUCACCUGAGACUAGGGUUUUUUCCUCUUCCCAGUAACAAACAUCACAAUUGUCCAUAUUCCUGUUCUUUACAAAUAAGGGCAUUUGCAACAUUUUUGCACCACAGCAGAAGUGCUCAUUCUCAAAGUCCCUUCUCUUGAAAUAUGGAUGAAUACAACUACAGUUGUAUAUUGUCCUAACAAAAGAAACCCACCUAUGCUCUUUGCUCCUAGGUUGUGCAACUUGCCAACCACUUUGCAUUAAUAUGUAAAACCUUUCUUUCCCAUGGCCACAUCCUUUAAUGUAGGAUGUCCUCUACCUCUAUACUAUAUUGCACUGAGGAGUUGACUACCCGAGAUCCCUUCUCUUAAACAGUUGAAAUACAUUAAUUGCAUAUCAUGUGUGUCUUACACAACAAAAAUGUAUUUGCACCCCAUUGUAUCUUUUGGGUGUUGUCACUAGGGGGUGCACAUUAUUCAAGAACCCAGCUCUUGGACAGUUAAUUUGCAGUUACAGUUGUCCAGAGUGCUAUCCACUGAAGAAGGGCCAAUAUAUCCUGUGUGCAUUCUAUAAUAGUGGGAUGAUCACCCAAGGUUACUUUCCUUGAGUUGAUGAUGCACGUAAUUGCAUUUGUCUAUGAUCUUGUGCAUUGGCCUCAUCCACUCCCUUCAUUCUGGGAGACCUUUCCUACUCAAGAUCUGCACUAGGACAGUUGAUAUGCGCAAUUUUAAUUUAUUAGAAUUGAGUCUUUUUAAAAGUCAAAAUCCCUGCCACUUUCUUUGCUUUACAUCAAGAGGGUGCUUGAUUACCUGAGGCCCCUUGUCUUGAUAUUGCUGAUAUCUCCUGUUAUUCUGGGAUCCCAUCCCCUCAGGCUCCAUUUGCAUUGCCUUAGGGGAUACUUGGGACUAUAAAUGUGCAUAUUGUGAUACAAAAUAACCCUAGGGUCCCAUCCCUUCACAUCUCCUUAGCAUAACAACCAGAAUGCUGGCUAGCUAUGGCUGCCUUUCCUAUACCAUUGGAAUGCGCACAAUUAAUAGCAAUCUAUUCACCCUCAAAUUAGAGCAGGAUACCAUCUUCUUGCCUAAUUUGCAUUACUGCAGAGGCUAAGAUUUACUCUUUUGAAUUGUUAAUCUUAUACUUUCAGUCCUGUAUUCCUUACCUGUAUACCAGGUAAGGACUCCACCCACUCUAUUUGCAUUACAGCAGGAGGUACUUAAAGCCACAGUGCACAAUCUUAAUUGUUCUCAACACACACUCAGUUGUCCAGAACUGUCUUUUAGAUCAGGACUCCUGUACUUAUCAAAGCAGAGAAUGAUAACCGACAUAAAACCCUCCUUUUGGGUCUGUAGUUGUAUAUGAUUGCAUCUGUCAGUGAUCCUUCAAGUUAGACUUGGGACUCUGACUUUUCACACCGUCUUUGCUUUAUUGCAUGAGACAGUGUUCACUUAAGGCCCCUUUAUUAAACUGUUAAUGUAGUUGCAUAAUGACAACUACAUUAGGAUUCUUCCCCUUCAAAUUCCCAAAAAAAAGUACUAUAGGAAUGCUGACCACUGAUGCUUUAAUUUGUGGCCUACUAAUAUAAGUGAUGGUAUUUGUCCUUGAGUGCUUAUAUGCACCAGAGAAGGAAAUCCCUCCUCUCCCGUCACCAAUUUUACCUUGUCUUCAAGCAGGGAUGCUGAUUCCAUAAAAUUCUUAUGUUUAUAUAGAAAUGGGACACAGCUGUAAGUGUGCACAGCCAAGCACCUUGGACAUUAACGUGUAUAACUGCACGUGGCUCAUCCCAUUUAAAUAAGAUCCUACUAUGAGGCUCCUUUUGCAGUACAGCAGAGGUGCUGAUCACCAAGGCCUAUAUUGGCCUGUUAAUGUGGGUGACUGUAUUUAUCCAGUUUCUUGUAUACUAGACAAGGAAGCCUCCCUUGCUCACCCCUCCCCCACCUUUCCUUUCCUUUCUAGCACAAAUGCCCACUCCAUAAAUCUUACAUUGGGAGAACAAGGUGCACAAUUGUAAAGAAGCACAGCCAUGCACCUUGGAUGUUAACGUGCAUAACUUCACGUGGCUCAUCCAUUUGAAUAAGAUCCUACUCCUUUUACAAUACAGAAGGAUGCUGAUCACCAAGGCCCCACAUGUUGGCCUAUUACACGGGUGAUUAUAUUUGUUCAAUUUUCUGCUUUCUAAAGAUUUACUUAUUUAUUUGAAAGGCAGAAUUACAGAGAGAGAGAUCUUCCAUCUGCUGGCUCACUCCCUAAAAGGCUGCAACAACCUGGCCUAGGCCAGGCUGAAAGCAGGAGCCAGGAGCUUCCUCUGGGUCUCCCACAUUAGUGCAGAGGCCCAGGGACCUGGGACAUCUGCUGCUUUGCCAGGCAUACCAGCAGGAGUUGGAGGGGAAGUGGAGCAGCCGGGUCUUGAACUGGCACCUAUAUGGAAUGCUGGCACUACAGGCUGUGGCUCUAACCUGCUGUGCCACAGUGCUGGCCCCCAGUUUCCUGCUUUCUCUAGACAAGAAAGCCUCCCCUGCUCCAUCGCUAACCCCAUCUUCCUCUCCCUUGCAGCAGAGGUGUCCAUUCCAUAUGACCAUUACAGUCAAGGUGCACAAUUGUAGUGACCACAACCAUGUACCGUGGACAUUAAUGUACAUAAGUGCACAAGGCUCAUCCCAUUUUGUGGUACAGCAAGAAUGCUGAUCACUAAGGAACCUAUUAUUGGCCUGUUAAGUGGUUGAUUAUAUUCGUCCAGUUUCCUGUGUGCCAGAAAAGGCAUUUCCCACUGCUCCUCCUGGCCCUCAUCUUCCUUUCACUUCCAGUUCUGAUGCCUAAUCCAUAAGACAUUACAUGGGAACAGUCAAGGUGCACAAUUGUAAGUGACCAAAGCCAUGGAUCUUGGAUAUCAACGUGCAUAACUAACUACAUGCGGCUUGUCCCAUUUUGAUUAAGCUCCUACUCUCAGAACCCUUUUGAAGUAUAGCAGGGGUGCUGAGAAGUAAGGCCUGUAACCUUGGCCUGUUAUGUGGGUGAUUAUAUUUGUCUGAGUUCCCAUGUAUUAGACGAGGAAACCUACUUCCUUCCACCCUCUGCUGCUCCUAGCGUUUUCCUUCCAGAAGAAAUGUCCACUCCAUAAGAUCAUUACAUGUGGGCAGUCUAGUUUCACAAUUAUAAAUGCCACGACCAUGCACCUUGGACAUUAAUGUUCAUAACUGCAUGUGGCUCAUCCUAUUUAAAUAAGAUCCUACUCUCAGGCCCCAUAUGCAGUACAGCAGGGGUGCUGAUUACCAAGGCCCAUAUUCUUGGUCUGUUAAAUGGGUGAUUAUAAUCUGUGUGCUAGACAAGAAAGUCUUUCUUGCUCCAACCCCAACCUAAUCUUCCUUUCCAUAUCAGCAAAGAUACCUACUCCAUAAAACCAUUGAAUUUGGACAGUGAAGGUGCACAAUUUUAAGUGACCACAAUGCACCUUGGACAUUGAUGUGUGUAACUGCGUGUGGCUUGUCCUAUUUAGAUGAGAUCCUACUCAGACCCCUUUUGCAGUACAGCCGGGGUGCUGAUCAUCAAGGCCCAUGUUCUUGGCCUGUUAUGUGGGUGACUAUAUAUGAGUUCCCAUGUACUUGUUCAUAUUCCUGUACAGUAGGUAAUGCUAAGCCCACCUACUACUUUAAUAUCUUAAUGUUUGUACAAAAUAAAUGGUUUUUACUUGACCACAACUGGAUGCCUUUGACAUUAAUGUAUGUAAUCAUGACAUUGUUCAUCCUAUUUGACCAAGAUCCUAUCCUCUUGCUCUCCAUUUACAAUGUACCAGGGAUGCUGACCUCUAAGCUCCCUUUUCUUGGUUUGUUAAUGCACAUAAUAUAUUUGUCUGGGUUCUUGUGCAUUAAACAAGGAUAGCCCACCUCUGAGUUCCUAUGCCUUUUAAUAGGUGGUUUCCACUGACUCAGACCUUUGAAUUUGGACAAUUAAUAUGCAUAAUUGCAGUUGUCCACAUCCCCAUUACUUCCAAGACCAAUGUACCUCCUUUACAUUACUGCAGGGGAUACUGCCCCCCCCCCCCCAGAUCCCAUCUAGUGGAUCAUGAAUGUACAUAAUUGAAAUUUUCUUUUGUCUUUGUCAGUAGCAUAUAAAGUCUUAUCCCCUCACUUUUCCUUAGUAGUACAGCAAGAUGUACUGCUCAACCAAGGCCCUCUUCGUUUGGCGGGAGUGUUAAGUGCAAUUCCAUUUUCUCCUGUACCCUUCACUAGAUAAGGGUCCCAUCAACUUCCUUAGCAUUUUCAGCAGGUAGUGCUCACUACAAAAGAAUUUUUAUUUGGAAAGCUCACAUACAUGAACAGUUUGCUAAGUAUGUCCUAUACCAGAACUCCUGUAAUCUCCCUGCUUUACAGCAGGGGGUGCUAUGCACUCAGUGCCUUGUCUUUUGGAUUUAAUGUGCAUUAAUGCAAUUGCUCCUCUCUUAGGGUAUCACUUCCUUAUACUCCUUUUUUUUUGAAUCAGGGGCAUAUUAACUAUGUAUUGGCCCCUUUUCCAUGAAUAUUAAUGUACAUAAUUGGUCUGUGGACCUAUGUGGUAGAAAAGAACCCUAUGCUCCUACCACUGCCUUGUGAUUGCAGCUGAGGAGAGCUAACCAUAACCUCAGCUCUUGGGCAAUUAAUAUGCAACAAUAACACUUAUUGAGAAUACGGAUUGUCAGAUGGAAACCCUGUACCCUCUUCAUUUGUAACAGGGGUGCUGACCAACUGUGACACCUUGAACUAUUAACUUGAAUAUUUGCACUUGGGCUCCCCCUUUCUGUUAGACUGGAGUAAUACACCCUUACAUAACCUGUGCAUUACUUCAGGGUGUGCUGGCCACUCCAAACUUCUCCUUGGACUGUUCAUGGGCACAAUGACAAUCAAUGGUUCUUUACCUCUUUGAAACCUCUCCUGGGACUGUUAAUAGGCACAAUGGCAAUUAUCAAUGGUUUUUUUCUCUCCCUGGCAUUGUUAAACAACACUUUCUUUCCCAUGGUGCAAUAAAUUGUAGUAUGCCAUGCAUUUGUCCAUCAAAGAACAACCUAUAUUUCCAUUCCCAGGUAGCCAUGGUCUCACCAUCUAUGCAAGGUUUUCCCUCUCCAUUGCCCCUUGUGUGCCCUUGGACCCUUCUCAUGGACUAUUAAUGCUCACAGUCCAGCCAUUUGAAAAGAUUGUGCUCCUUCUGUCCCAUCUGCCCCCACCUGGUCCAUUUUGCCUCUUUUGGUAUGUAAUGUUGACUGAACAAGGCCCUCUCUCUUCGACUUAAAAUGUUAAUCCCAAAUGCCACUGUUUUACCCACUUUGCAUUGCUGUAGUGGCUCAGUUGCACUUUCCUUGGUCCCGCCCAUUAGACAUGGACCCCUCCCACUUACUUUGCAUUGCUUCUGAGCACUGCUGACUACCCAAAGCCCUUUCUGUGUUAUUAAUGAAUGAACACAAUACUGAUUGUCCCACUUUGCAGCCUGUCUUUAAGAUCUCUCUACCACUUUGAUGUGUUUGUGCAGCAUUCAUUAACAAAAGCAGGCCUGGAACUAUGUGGAUGAACCUUCAUUUUUUUCCUGCAAUUGCUAAUUAUUCUGAUUUCAAUUAUUGUCACAAUCUGGGUACAGGAGUCAUUCCUUCCCAGCUCUAUUAUUGCUUUAUUGUGCAAAAUAUUUACAGCACAUCAGGCUCAGUGAGCUGAAAUACCAUCCUGUAUUUUGGGUAUUUAACAUAUAGUGAUCAGUUGAUUGGAGGAGAGUUGUGAUUUUCUUUGCAUUCUUCUUCCAGAGAAGAUUGCCUGGUUAAGAAUCUUUCUUUUGUGUAUUGCUGUGGUGCUGUGCCGACUGCUAGGAUACAACCAGAAGCGUUGUUAAUUGCUUGUUUUUUAAGAAAGACAUCUGGAUUACAAGGUGGAAUUGAUAGGCUGGUCAUUAAUUUUUUUAAGCUGAAAAGUCCAUUUAUACUAUGUACUUAAUGAUCAGUGUCUCUCAUUUUACCGAGUGUGGUGGGUCUGUGGAUAGACCACUGUGACUCUUGUAUUAUAAUUAUGGCAUUACCAAAAGGGUUCUGGAGUGGAGUGGACCUCUUAAGAUCAGUAUCUUUGGGCUGUACUACCAUUUUAAAAUCAAUCCUUGUUUGGUUUUUACCACCAUUUGCUUUUAGAAAAAUGAUCUAAAUGUUCUAAUCCUUCAAUUUCUUCAUCUGGAGCACCAGCCUCUAAUUAUUUCAAGAAGAUGGCUAUAAAAAUGAUUAAAUGAGAGAACAUAAUGCUGAGGUGCUUCUGAAAACCAUAGGUCACCAUUUAGUUCUGCUAAUAGCUUGAAGCAUCACACUGAAGUGAGGACUUAACCAUAGAAAUGAUGGGAUCAGUUUCCCCAUUUUAUAAGAAAAAUAAGCCAUUACCUCAUCAUUCUUCUGAACAUAAAUCUCAGCAGUGGGAUAGCUGCCUAGUAAAAAGGAGUAAUAUCCCGGCCUCUAGUGUACAGUGUCUUAUGCCAAAGGAGUAUUUAAUGUGGAAUUGCUGAAGCACAUAGCUAGUCAUCACAACAGCAGUUCUUUUUAACCACUGAAAAAGGAUACUAUGACUCUGAGAAGGAUGCCGAAAGAUCAGCCCAGCCCAGGGUGCAGUUUGCACUACUGGCUCCUUGGACAGCUGCAAGAAGAGUCUCUGGCUCUUUAAGAUUCUGGUCAUUCCCAACUAUGUGAGACCUGAGGACUGAGAGCAGCUGCAAGAGACCUCAAGUUCAGCAGAUCUUUACUUUUGAGACUCCAGACCAGUUCCAACUAUUCUAAGUGGAUGGCUUGCAAGUUGCCUGGAGAAAAAGAUCUUCCUGGAAGAAUAGGCUUGUUGCUUUACAGUGUUAGUGACCCAUUCCCUUUGACGAUCCCUAGGUGGAGAUGGGGCAUGAGGAUCCUCCAGGGGAAAAGCUCACUAGCACUGGGCAACAACCCUAGGUCAUGAGGUUCAACCAAGAUACUUCCUUGGGCCCAGAUAAGAAGAUGAAAUCUGAAAGACAACCACCUUGUGUCAAGGUGGGAGAACAUGGACAACAACUGCCACAUUACAACACCUUGGGAUGUCCAUGGGAUAUAACACACAACAAGCUAUUUGAGAAGAUAAAUAAGAGUUGUAGCUUUUUGCUCUGUGCCUGCUGAUUGAUGGAUGCCACGUAGCUACGAAUUAAAACAUGGGAAAUGACACAGUUUUCUAUCAUUGGGCAAGAACUAAAGGAUGAGUUCCCUGUGUCCUCUAGCUCUUGAAUGUUCCUUUCAUGGCUGCCAAAUCACCCUUCCCAAAAUCAGUGCAAAGAGCUGGGUCUUCCGCAGAAUCAAGAAAUUUGAACAUGCCAAAAGAUGCCUUCCUACCUAAAGAUCAACAUGCUUGCUGACAAUGUAGCACUUCAGAGUAGCAGAAUGAAUGUGUAUUUCUCUUUGUCUUUUUUCUUCCUUGUGCGGCUUUGCUCUUCUCUAAAGUGAUUGUUAUCCAUUUCCAUGUUUCUCUUGCUAAUUUCUUCUAUGUGUGCUUUUGCUUCAUUUUCUCUUUUUGUCCCUAAGUGUGAUCUCUGCCUUGUAUUUGUUGUCUCUCUCUAGUUUGUCCACUUUGUUGCUGUUAACUCUUUGCUCUCCUACAUCUGGCUCUUCUUUCACUAUGUCUUCCUUUUGUUUCUACUCUCUGGGUCAUACGCUAUGUGCUUUUUUGCCACUUUCUUCUUCUACCUAUCUUUCUUUGUCUCUUUGUGACCCUUCCACUUCGUGUUGGCUUGAUGUUUCAUGUUUCUCUGAUUCUGAGCUCCUUUCUGAUGUUUCUCCUCCUUUUCUUGCAUUUCUCUUUUCUACCUUCUCUUUUUGCCCCUCUUGGGCUAUUUUCUCUCUUUCCUCCUUUGUGUGCCUAAGUGUCUCUUUGCUAUUUGUAAUUGUCUACCUCAGCAUCAAUCUCUGCUUAUUUGUGUUUCUUCUCUGCUUUUCCCCUCUCUAUUAACCUUUGACUCUUUCAGCCUCUAUGUUUGCCUCUCUUUGAUUUUUAUGUAAUUUCUCCUUGGAUCUGUCUUUGUGUAUGUGGGCAUGUGUGCAUAUAUGUGCAUGUCAUGUGUGAUUGAGGGGGUUCCUAACCCCUUCCCAAUAGGUGCAGAAUGUCAGCUAUCAAAAUGAACAGUGUAGAAGCUGUUUCUUAUGCCAAGUUACCUAAUGAGAUGAUCAAGACCAAAACAGCACCCUAAGAUCAGAACUGAAGUAAAACCCAAGACCACAAAUGGACAGAAGGUGGAAGGUGCAUGAUGGAUAAAAGACGCAAAGUGAAAGACAGAUGGUUUAGACCUUGAACCUUGAGGACUAAGGUUGAAAAUACAAGACCCCAAAAAAGAUGAGACCCUCAGGCCUGAAACCAAACAGAAACUUUGAAAACUAACAUGUACAGAAAGUGGUCUGAGUUGGACAGAAGGCCAAAGACCCAGGGUGGAGGCUGGAGGCCCAAGAGCUGGAAUGGACACAUGGGAAGCUUAAAAACUGAGAUGUAUAAUACAAAGCCUAAGACCAAGUUAUAGUUUGAAGACCUAAGGCCCAUGGAUGGAAGGCUGCAGACACAAACAACACCCAGGACUCAAGCCACCCCAGAUGGACAGAAGACCCAAGCGAAACAGUGAUCUCCUGACUAAAGGUUGGAAGCUGAAGUUCCCUUAACCAGAGCCCAGGAGGGGAGAAACCCGGGGAAGUCCCAAGAUGAGAACCCUAAACCCCAACUCUUUUCUAUUGUUGUACCUUCUACUCUUAGAUAUUUUGAAUUUUCUCCUCCCAAUUAUCAUAUUGCCAUUAAGCCUGCUUCUUUUGUGAUGUCCUUCAGAAAGGAAUGUGUCUUUAGAGUGGUAAUAUGCAUGGGCCAGUCUUGAGCCAGUUUUUGUUGUAGUUUUUAGCCAUUCAUUUUUUUCAUUUCUCUUCAUGUCUAUUCCAUUUGAGAGAGACAACAAAAUUCAAUCAAUAUCUAGUCUGGAUUUUGGUAUUACACUCAGGAGCAAGCAUCUGUAUAGGUUAUAUUGCAUUUCUGUCUUCUUUUUUAAUCUCAGAAGCCUUGGGCUGAUGAGAAGACAAAAGCUGUUGUGGUAAAAAGAAGUGCCAGGCUAUCUAGAGAAAAUGUGAAGAGAUGCUCUGGCCAUUGAGAAGAAUUAGACAAGAAAUAAACAGAUCAUACCAGCCUUCUGAAAAGCACUAGCCAACAGCACCUUCCUUUGAGCUUAUCCAGAUUUCUGAGAUCUGGAACUUCUAGUAAUGGUUACAGAUGGGUGAUUGCCUGCCCAGAGUGAGGCUUACACUCCCAGCUCAUUGUAAAGGCCAGAUAAUUUGGUGGACCACACAAACCCUAUUUCUGAGUUUAACAUCCACUUGUAGGUUUAAAGAUGACAGAACAUGAGAUGAUAUAAUGGUUUAAUCCUUUGCUUGAUCACUAAUUCUCCCCCUUUUGUGAAGGAAGUUGAUGUAAAUGAUUGAUAAUGUGUUUUUAAACACUGUAAAACACAAGACAAAAACAAGCAAGGCAACCUCAUUAAUAGCAUAUUGGCAGUCACAGACAAUUAACAUUUAAAAAUACAGUGCCUCUUGUGAAGCAUUAUGUAAAUGCUCAUCACACAUUUUCUCUGAGGUCAGAUCUUAAAUAUUUAGGUUUUUGGGGCCAUAAGCUCUCAGCAUGUUUUUUUUUUACACAACCUUUUUAAAAGGUAAGAACCAUUCCUACCUUGUGAGCCAAGUGGAUUUGAUCUGCAGUUCAAAGUUUACCAACUUCUGUUGUAAAUGCCAUAGAAUAUUUCUGAAUAUUAUUUCCUUUUCUGUUUGUGUCCUUGUGCUAGUCUCUAAGGAUGUGUGGUCAUAUCCUGGUGACUUGUAGAAAAGUGUGUGAAUAUGUUUUAUAAACUUCUUUGAAGCACUGCCAAAAACUUAAGAGUUUCAGUAUUGAUGAGUGAAUAUUGGCUGCCUAUUCUGUGAAUCCUGUGCUAAGCAUUGGAGAUACAAAGAUUUAAAGCAGCAUGAAUAAAAAAGUGCUUUUUCAAAAGAAUGUAGUACUACAUAGUACUAUGCAGACAUAAGACAUUAAGUUUUGGAUAAAUGAAGAAUUUGUAUAGUUGUGUUUCUGUUGCUCUUUUGAUUUUGAGUAAAAGUUCAGUAUUCUAGGCAACAGAAAGCACAUGGACAUGGCUUUUAAACUAUAAACUAUACUACAAACAAACGGGAUUAACCUACCGUGAUCCUCUACAUUGUGGCAAAUAUGCUGGAGGAGUCUUCUCACAGACUAAAAGUUUCAGAAAGGAAGUGCCUAUUAAAGUGCUUUGCAAACUAAAGCACUAUACAAAAUAUCAGUGAGCUACAUGUUUAUGAAUGAAUGAACAUUAACUACUUCUUACAUACCCAGUAUUGUUUUGGGCACUAAAACGCCCAAAAUAAGUUUUCCCAAGUGAUUCUCUCAUGUAGUAAAAAUUUAGACACAAGGAAUAAGAUAUCAAUUGAUCUAAUCAAUAAAGACUUUCCCGGUGAGAUUGAGUUAAAUUAUUGCUGAUAUGUUUUCCAUACUAAUGGAACGUAAUGAAUGUGAAUGAGAUUUCUAAACUACAAAAUGCUAUGUAAUUUGAAGACUUCAGAUGUUUCUGUAUGAAUAAAACGUUCCACAAGAUAGGCAUUGUUUCUACAAAACUCUCAUUUGUGUUUGAACCACAAGGAGAAAGAUAGUUACACAAACUAAGGGCUUAAAUACUUACUAAAGGAAUGAUUCCAUGUCAAAUUGCUUAUUGUGUGAACUCACUGUUACAGGCAGUGAGGAAAUACAGUUUUGUAUUCAAUUGUGCCUGCAGCUGAGAAUAAGGCAGUACAUACGUUAGCAUUUUGUGAGGUCUAAAGCACCAUAAAAAUGUUACUAUGGAGUUUAUUUCUCACCUGGUGCUGAAUACUAGGUUUAUAAAAAUUAAAUCACAGUUAUUAUACUAUGCAAAUAAAGCAGAAAAGUUGACUGAGGAUUGAACAUGCUAAAUAUAAUAUGUAAAGUGUUCAAUGUCUUAUGAAUGCAGAGUGGAUAGUAAUAAUUUAAUAUACACCAGUCUCCUUUGCAAGGCAUUGAGGAUGCAAAGAUAAACCAUCUUUUUAUCUAAAAAAAGAUUUUAUUUAUUUGAAAGGCAAGGAAAUAGAGAUCUUCCACCCACUGGUUUAUUCCCCAAAUGGCCACACUGCUGGGUCUAGGCCAGGGCCAGGCUGAAGCCAGGAGCCAGGAGCCAGGAACUCCAUCUGAUUCUCCCACGUGGGUGGCAGGGGCCCAAGUACUUGGGCUAUCUUCUGCUGCCUUCCCAGGCACAUUAGCAGGAAGCCAGAUUGGAAACUGAGCAGCCGGAACUUAAAAUGGAGCUCAUGUAGAAUGCUAGCGUUGCAGGUGGAGGCUUAACCAGCUGUGCCACAACGCCAGCCCCAAAGAUAAAACCAUCUUUAUUGUGUCCUGGGUAGCAGAGGAAUGUGUAUGAAAAUAAUGUCAUUUAUAAAAGGCUAUGUGUACAUUAGCAAAAUUUGCUAAAUGAAUACUCUUUACUAUUAUCCCUAGACAUAGUAACUGGGGUUACAAGAAUUCAUUGCCAAUAUUAUUGAAGCUGCAAUGGAGAUCUCUAUGUAAUUCACAAAGCCUACAGUUCUAUAAAGAUAGGAAUUAACUGUUGGCUUAAUGAAUACAGAUUACUUUCUGUGAAGCUCAGAAUUGCAUAUCCUAUUAUGUAAAAAUGAACUUACCAUUGUGUGAUCUCACAGGAGGAAAUAAAAUAAUAGUUGUGAGAUCUGGAGCAGAAGUUACUUAACUACUAAAAAACUUAUUUGAUGAUGAUGAUGAAAACAUGGGGAAAAAGGAUUUGUGUAAGGCUGUGGUAAUGCUGAAUUAAGUGAAAUGAUGAAAUCCUGUUCAUCAGAAUACUUGGCUCCUUAUAGAAAUGAUGGAAAUUCUUUUGUUAAAAAUCAAAGUGUUGUCUUUCCAUCCAGUUUUUGAAUGCUCCAUGCUGACAAUGAAGGUGAAGUAGAUUCACCAUGGCGUGGCGUAGAGAUGAUGAAGGAGAAAAAUGAAAGGCUCAAGUUUGCUUUUUGAUUCACCUGAUAAACAUUGUUCAUGUGGAAUACCCCAUUCCAGGUCCUGAGCAUAAGAGAUGAGGUGAUAUGGACCUAGUCUAAAGCACUUAGACUACUGAUCAUAGCUGAAGAUCGAAAACCAUCUUUAAUUUGAUUUUUGGCUAAAUAAAUAUAUGAGUGCCUGCUCUCUGCAAGGUGUGAUGGUUGAUGAAUUAUGUAAAUCUGGUUCAGAAGACCCAUUUACUUGCCUUGGAGAUCUAAGGGAAAUGAAAAAAGGCAAGAUUCAUUCAACAUAAAACAGAGACAUUUUUCUUGGUUCCAGGAAACUCCAGAGUUGCUUGCUCAUUUGUCUCCUUUCAAACCAGAACACUCCUAAAAGGAUGCAGGAAUCCUUCAAUGUCCUUCAAUUCUGCUUUUAUUAUAGUUCAUUAGUUUAAGAUGAGAAUCAAGAUGAAAGGACUAGUUUUAAAAGGUAUUGGCAGACUGACCUGGCUUAGAGUCAGGAAGACACUUGAGAAACAACAACAAAAAAGGUGUUUCAUAUUUGCUAUUUUUAGUAAAGAUGUGUUAAAUCUGAAGAACGUACUAAGUGCUGAGGAAAUGAAGAAAAGCAAAAAGCCUAGGCCAAAAUGUACUUUAUACCCACCAGCUUAUGGUGGAACCACAAGAAAAAACGUAAUAAGAGCAAAUUUCAUAAAAGACUGCAGACCUUUCUUAACUGAAAAACUUCACACUGCAGCUGUGACUGUAAGACACAGAGAAGGAGUGAUUAAAUAAAUAGAUCUCCUUCUCUUUGGCGUGCUUUGUAGAGUGGAAAUAAAAGAGGACUUUUUUAUUUUUGCAUUCAUACAAAUAUUGAUGAAAAUGAUGCUAAGCGCCAAAUUAAAUAGAUUUGUUCCAAAGGCACUUAGCCUGAUUUGGAGAUGCAAUAAGAAAACAAAUGGAGUGAUACUCUGUUAAACAGAAGUAUCUAUUAUGUCAAGCCAUUGUGGUAAAUCUUAGAUUAAAAAAAAAAAAAACACAAAAGAUCUUGACUGAAAGACACUUGCUUAUCAAUUACCUCAUUGAUUAAAAUAUAGGAGGUAGUUUAAUGUUCAUUCAUUUUUUUCACUUGGUCAUUCUACAAAUAUAUCUGGGUGCCUACUAGAUAAAGAAUCCUUUGGUAGGCUCUCAGUUGCCUCAGAGACAUUACAAACUUGCAUUCCUGCCUAGAGCAUUUCUAAAACUUUGCUUUUGACCUGUUUCCUGAUUACAGGCAUGAUUUUGUCCCUAAACAACAUUGUGUGGUUUGAUUCCUACUCCAUAUCUCUUCCUCCGCUCUGGCCACUGCAAUCAGCAGGUAGCUGGGUUUUGUAGAGAACUUGCUCCUUGAGUUGCAGGAACUCUUCUUGUAAUGGACGGCUCAUCCCUCAUGAAAAAUGACUAAGACCACUGUUUGCCAGAAGGAGGGAUGCCAACCAACUAAUUCCCAAAUCUCAGUCUCACUGGGGAACCACCCAUACCUGAGCCACAGUUGGUAUUGAAAAGCAUUUACAGUUGUGGUCUAUUUGCAAUUCUUUGACCCUUUAUGUGCUGACACAUGGAUCUAUUUCAGAAACAAUCCUCAGCACAUAAUAAAAUGGAGAUGGAGACAUGAUUUCUUUUACAACAGCUUCAUAAUAUAUACCAUAGAAAUGUUCUUAUCAUCAAAAGAAUGUCAGUGGAUGAAAAUAGCUUAAAACUUAAGAAAGCUUGCUUAAAUCUUAAGUUCCAUAAAAUACAAAUUGGAAAUGACAGAACAAAAAAAAGUAAAGUACUCUAAGUCUAUGCCAGACUAGGAUUUGACCUUUUCUAUUUUUAAAUCACUCACAGAGGGUGGGACAGGAGGGAGAGUGAAGGAAAGGUCAAAUCUGUUCUAAGGGCAGUUGCCCUUUGUUCUGGAUUCUGUAUUGAGAGCAUUACUAGCUCCAGUUAUAACUUGGGAUUGCUUUUUAAAAGUUUAAUGCAGUUCCAAUAACUGAUUAUUGUUGACAUCAGGUCCUAAUUUGCUGUAUGCCUUUUGAGAAAAAUUUUUGUCUGAAUGGCUAUCAACUAAGCCCUGGUUCAGAAAGGAAUGGAAUUUAUUAAUUGAACCAAUGUGACCCACUUUCAUAAGAGUUCUUUAAAGCUGAAGCUAACAUUUGCUGCAGAGGAAAAAGACUAUUGUUCAUUGUAGUUUGUAAAUUCUUUCAAAGUAUCUGAACUAGUUCACGUGGCAAGCCCACAAUAACAUCCGUAAAUGGAGAAGGGAAUAAUGGCAAAGUAUAAUUGGUGAGUGGAACAAUGUAAAAGGGGAUUUGGGGUAAUACUUGUUAGUUUCAACUUUGUACAUUUUUAUUAAUAUUAGACUUUUUAAUGUAUCAGCUAGACACAGCACCCUUUCUUCAAGCAGGGUUGGGGGGUACAUUUUUGGAAAGUGGUAAGGAGAAAGUAACUGAAAGCCUUCCUUUCACAGUUUCUGGCAUCACUAUCACUGCCAAUUAGACAAGAAUAAGAGAACAUGCUAUCAUCUACUUUAGUCGCAUAUGUGAAGUUGUAAAGGAAACUCCUUCAUCUCUUCGUUUCUGCCUCAAAGAAUUCUAUGCCAAAAUGCUAAGAUAAAUGGAAGGAAGUUGGACUUGUGAACUCAUGUAAAAAACUGACUGUUGAUUCUUUAGUGUUUUGAAGAUCCAAAAAUGUUGCUCAGCAUGGGUGACCAACAAAAAGCAAUCUGAAGCUAUCCCCCACAUCGUGACAGAAAAAUUGGGGAGUUUGUUGUGUACUGUAAAAUAAAAUGUACUGCUUUGAGAACUUGCA